CCUUGCGAUAUCGAGGCUCACAGCAAGA
rnacentral:sRNA from 1 species